GGAAAGAUCAGACUCUGAGGUUUCCAGCUCUGAGUGUGUAAAGAGUGAUCAGUUGAAAGGUGAUGUACCACUUUUGAAUGAGGAAACAUCUACCAAAAGGUAUUUCAUGUGUUUCUUAUUGUCAGACACACAUAGACUGUGUAAGGAAGUAUUUCUUUUUGACUUAAUUAUAACACUUUAGAGAUUUGUUUCUCAAAAAAAAAAAAAAAAAAAAUGCUUUAUGCAUUGUGAUAGCUGUUGAUGGGAGAAUAAUUAUUAUGCAUACUUAUAGUUUGUUAAAUUGUACUUAUUGUAAUUACCAUCUGAAUGAAGCCUCUUCAAAUGAGACUGAGAAAACUCCUUUGUGUUAUUAUUAGUGAAAAAUCGGGCCUAAAUGUGUCCUUCUGUGAUGAAACACCAUCACAAGCUAAAAUGUAUUUUAUAUGCUUUACAUGCAUUAUUUACAUUUCUUCACUAUUGUGUCUGUGACUGAUUAAACAGAAAACCACACAUAAACACAUUCAUCUGUCCAUAGUCAUGAGAACAGCAAAUGCUCUUCAAAUGAGACUGAAGAAUCUCCUUUAAUAGUGUUUUCUCUGCUCCUGUCAGUAAAAGAUCAGGUUCACUUGUGUCCAGCUCUAUGAAAAGUCACCAUUCAAAAGGUAACAGACUGACCUUCAGUGAGAAAGCCCCAUCAUCUUCCAAAAGAAAAAAAUCAGGCUCUGAUACGUUCAGCUCUGUGUCUGUGAAGAUUAACCAUUCAAAAGGUGAUGGACCGAACUUCAGUGAGAGGAAAAUAUCUACCAAAAGUGUAAGAUCAGGCUCACAUGUGUCCAGCUCUGUGUCUGUGAAGAGUAACCGUUCAAAGGGUGAUGUACCGAACUUCCGUGAGGAAACACCAUGUAACAAAAGUGUAAGAUCAGGCUCACGUGUAUCCAGCUCUGUGUCUGUGAAGAGUAACCGUUCAAAGGGUGAUGUACCGAACUUCAGUGAGAAAACACCAUGUAACAAGAGUGAAAGAUCUGAAUCGCAUGUGUCCAGCUCUGUGUCUAUGAAGAGUGACCAUUUAAAGGGAGAUAGACCAAACUUCAAUGAGAAAACACCAUCACCUUCCAAAAGUAACAAAGGACAGAAGACCACAGUAAAUAUUGGUGCAGAAAUUACACGGUGGGACGCUCUUAAAGCACAGAAGGGAUUGAAGAGUGAUGUGGAACUGGCAGCAUUUCUUCUCAACAGGGUUAAGUUUGAGAAAUCGGACUCAAACUACAAGAAUUACCGCAACCACAAGAAUUUCAGAGAAAAUCUCUUCUGGAUCUUCAAGGAUCUUGAGAAAAAAAUAACUGCAUUUCUGAAGAAUGAGCUGGAAAAGUUUAAGAAAAUAUUAAAUAGAGAGAAUACACAGUACUUUGUGCAGGACUUUACAGAGAAAAUGCGUGAUAUCAAAGAAGCAGCUCUUGAUAUGACACUCUACUUCCUGAGAGAUAUGAAGCAAUAUGAGGCUGCAGAUGCUCUACAAGGUAAGAGGUUCAUAGACAUAACAAUUUGUCAUUGUCACUUAUAAAAUAUAAAAUGGUGCAUAUCUUGAUGCAUACUGUACCUUUCUGUUUUUUCGUUCUUGUUUGUUUAUUAGAUGAGCUGGUCCUCAUUCAUCAGCGA
ensembl:lncRNA